GGUCUGGUGGUCUAGUGGUAUGAUUCUCGCUUAGGGUUCACCUUAUGCUUAAAUAUGCGAGAGGUCCCGGGUUCAAUCCCCGGCCAGACCC